GGGGAAUGGCGGAAUGGCAGACGCUAUGGGAUGUAUGGUCAAGGUCUAAUCGAGGUGACGAGUUGAGCCUGCUAGCAACUGUACAUCCAUCACCUUGCAGGUUCGAAUCCUGCUUCCCCUA
rnacentral:tRNA from 1 species